AAGACCUUGCGCUUUUGGAGCGGCCGAUGCCUGAUUAGCUUGUUGGUAAGGUAAAAGCUUACCAAGGCUUCGAUCAGUAGCUGGUCUGAGAGGACGACCAGCCACACUGGGACUGAGACACGGCCCAGACUCCUACGGGAGGCAGCAGUGGGGAAUUUUGGAUAAUGGGGGCAACCCUGAUCCAGCCAUGCCGCGUGAGUGAAGAAGGCCUUCGGGUUGUAAAGCUCUUUCAGCCGGAACGAAACGGUUACGGUUAAUACCCGUGACUACUGACGGUACCGGAAGAAGAAGCACCGGCUAACUACGUGCCAGCAGCCGCGGUAAUACGUAGGGUGCGAGCGUUAAUCGGAAUUACUGGGCGUAAAGCGUGCGCAGGUGGUUUUGUAAGUCAGAUGUGAAAGCCCCGGGCUCAACCUGGGAACU
rnacentral:rRNA from 1 species